rnacentral:lncRNA from 1 species
CUCCUUUGGAGCUGCAGCUGGAGGAGUGGAGAUGCCCACAGAAGGCAAUUCAGAAAUCAAGGCAUGGGCCCUCUGCUCCAUCUGUGUGGUCUGUGCUGUGUGGUGCAGAGAAUGGGGGCAUCCAGCAGCAGUGUGGAUUGAGUAGUGCUUCACAGAUGGUGGUGAUCUCUCCUGGGGGCUUUGCAGAACGAAAAAUGCCCAUUACACAUGGAAAAGAGGCGUUGAAGAGGAAAAGCA